rfam:Cronobacter sp. DJ34 Bact_Abyss1_124, whole genome shotgun sequence.
CAGGUAACACGAAAUCGUACCCCAAACCGACACAGGUGGUCAGGUAGAGAAUACCAAGGCGCUUGAGAGAACUCGGGUGAAGGAACUAGGCAAAAUGGUGCCGUAACUUCGGGAGAAGGCACGCUGGUGCGUAGGUGAAGCGACUUGCUCGCGGAGCUGAAACCAGUCGAAGAUACCAGCUGGCUGCAACUGUUUAUUAAAAACACAGCACUGUGCAAACACGAAAGUGGACGUAUACGGUGUGACGCCUGCCCGGUGCCGGAAGGUUAAUUGAUGGGGUUAUCGCAAGAGAAGCUCCUGAUCGAAGCCCCGGUAAACGGCGGCCGUAACUAUAACGGUCCUAAGGUAGCGAAAUUCCUUGUCGGGUAAGUUCCGACCUGCACGAAUGGCGUAAUGAUGGCCAGGCUGUCUCCACCCGAGACUCAGUGAAAUUGAACUCGCUGUGAAGAUGCAGUGUACCCGCGGCAAGACGGAAAGACCCCGUGAACCUUUACUACAGCUUGACACUGAACAUUGAGCCUUGAUGUGUAGGAUAGGUGGGAGGCUUUGAAGCGUGGACGCCAGUCUGCGUGGAGCCAACCUUGAAAUACCACCCUUUAAUGUUUGAUGUUCUAACCUGGCGCCAUAAUCUGGCGUGGGGACAGUGUCUGGUGGGUAGUUUGACUGGGGCGGUCUCCUCCCAAAGUGUAACGGAGGAGCACGAAGGUCAGCUAAUCCUGGUCGGACAUCAGGAGGUUAGUGCAAUGGCAUAAGCUGGCUUGACUGCGAGAGUGACGGCUCGAGCAGGUGCGAAAGCAGGUCAUAGUGAUCCGGUGGUUCUGUAUGGAAGGGCCAUCGCUCAACGGAUAAAAGGUACUCCGGGGAUAACAGGCUGAUACCGCCCAAGAGUUCAUAUCGACGGCGGUGUUUGGCACCUCGAUGUCGGCUCAUCACAUCCUGGGGCUGAAGUAGGUCCCAAGGGUAUGGCUGUUCGCCAUUUAAAGUGGUACGCGAGCUGGGUUUAGAACGUCGUGAGACAGUUCGGUCCCUAUCUGCCGUGGGCGCUGGAGAAUUGAGGGGGGUUGCUCCUAGUACGAGAGGACCGGAGUGAACGCAUCACUGGUGUUCGGGUUGUCAUGCCAAUGGCACUGCCCGGUAGCUAAAUGCGGAAGAGAUAAGUGCUGAAAGCAUCUAAGCACGAAACUUGCCCCGAGAUGAGUUCUCCCUGAGACCUUGAGUCUCCUGAAGGAACGUUGAAGACGACGACGUUGAUAGGCCGGGUGUGUAAGCGCAGCGAUGCGUUGAGCUAACCGGUACUAAUGAACCGUGAGGCUUAACCUU